CUCGGUCAUAUUAGAGAAGAACGGUGGCGGUAUGACAACAAAACACAGAAAUGCGUGAUGUUCGUCGGAAGCGACGAGGACUGCAACAACUUCGAGACCGAAGAAAUGUGCAACAGGCACUGCGGCCCAAAAAUGCGAAACUAAAGCUAAAAAGGAAGGAACUGGAUGGAAAAGAAUAUUCUUUCUGGGACCAGGAACCAUCUGUUUCAUGCAAGUCUAUUUUAAAAAGAGGAAC
rnacentral:lncRNA from 1 species